GAAAUGCGAUAAUUAAUGUGAAUUGCAGAAUUCAGUGAAUCAUCGAGUCUUUGAACGCACAUUGCGCCCCCUGGUAUUCCGGGGGGCAUGCCGGUCCGAGCGUCAUUGCUGCCCUCAAGCACGGCUUGUGUGUUGGGCUUCCGUCCCUGGCAACGGGGACGGGCCCAAAAGGCAGUGGCGGCACCAUGUCUGGUCCUCGAGCGUAUGGGGCUUUGUCACCCGCUCCCGUAGGUCCAGCUGGCAGCUAGCCUCGCAACCAAUCUUUUUAACCAGGUUGACCUCGGAUCAGGUAGGGAUACCCGCUGAACUUAAGC
rnacentral:misc_RNA from 1 species